CAGCAGCAGCCACGGGAAUACGAAGGGUGCAAGCGUUAAUCGGAAUUACUGGGCGUAAAGCGUGCGUAGGCGGUGAGUUAAGUCUGUUGUGAAAUCCCCGGGCUCAACCUGGGAAUGGCAAUGGAUACUGGCAAGCUAGAGUGUGUCAGAGGAUGGUGGAAUUCCCGGUGUAGCGGUGAAAUGCGUAGAGAUCGGGAGGAACAUCAGUGGCGAAGGCGGCCAUCUGGGACAACACUGACGCUGAGGCACGAAAGCGUGGGGAGCAAACAGGAUUAGAUACCCCGGUAGUCCCUGUCUCUUAUAC
rnacentral:rRNA from 1 species